rnacentral:rRNA from 1 species
GAUGAACGCUGGCGGCGUGCCUAAUACAUGCAAGUCGAGCGAAUGGAUUAAGAGCUUGCUCUUAUGAAGUUAGCGGCGGACGGGUGAGUAACACGUGGGUAACCUGCCCAUAAGACUGGGAUAACUCCGGGAAACCGGGGCUAAUACCGGAUAAUAUUUUUAACUGCAUGGUUCAAAAUUGAAUGGAGGCUUCGGCUGUCACUUAUGGAUGGACACGCGUCGCAUUAGCUAGUUGGUGAGGUAACGGCUCACCAAGGCAACGAUGCGUAGCCGACCUUAGAGGGUGAUCGUCCACACUGGGACUGAGACGCGGCCAAUACUCCUACGGGAGGCAGCAGUAGGGAAUCUUCCGCAAUGGACGAAUGUAUGACGGAGCAACGCCGCGUGAGUGAUGAAGGCUUUCGGGUCGUAAAACUCUGUUGUUAGGGAAGAACAAGUGCUAGUUGAAUAAGCUGGCACCUUGACGGUACCUAACCAGAAAGCCACGGCUAACUACGUGCCAGCCGCCGCGGUAA